rnacentral:lncRNA from 1 species
GUAAAUUUAAAAAAAAUAAUUUGAUGAAAAAAUGAAUUAAUUGAAAGUAAUUAAUAUGCAAGUGAUUUCAUGAGAUCCUUGGCCUAACUCAACUUUAACCUUAAAUUUAUCCCUUUGACAAAAGUUUAUUUUUACCCCCGAACUAACACCGUUGCAAGUGCGUAACCAUUUUGUAAUAAAAAUCUACAAACCUUUGAAAAAAUGAUAAAAGCUUUCUGCAUUUUGCGGCCUGUUUCUCAUUUUCUUCCUCACGUUUUCGCUUCAUCCGAUUUGUUGAUGGCAUGAUUAGUAUCUGUAUUCACUAUUCAAUCUAUUGCAGUUUGCUAAUCAGCUGAUUACGAAAUCGAUUACAAAAUGGCGUCCUAGUGAACUUUUGUUUACGUUUGAAGGGAAAUAACUCGAGCGGUAUUCAUAAAAUAUGUCUUUCAGUACCGGUUGUUAAUUACGACGAUAAAGGCAUGGCGUCAGGAAUUUCGACAAAAUUAGGGCAGGGCGCCAAAUUUUUUUCCCAAAAAGGGCAGGGCGUCGAGAAAUCGCGGCAGGGCGCCAUUGCACGCCAAAACCACCUGUAGGAAACACUAUGUGU